AAGUCGUGGGGCAGCAGGGGCGUAGCAAUACGUUCGCUGGCGACCGGCAAACGGGUGCGGAACACGUACACAACCUUCCUUUAAGUGGAGAAUAGCCCGGGGAAACCCGGAUUAAUACUCCGUAACAUAAUGAAGUGGCAUCACUUUAUUAUUAUAGCUCCGGCGCUUGAAGAUGGGUGUGCGACUGAUUAGGCAGUUGGCGGGGUAACGGCCCACCAAACCUACGAUCAGUAACUGGUGUGAGAGCACGACCAGUCACACGGGCACUGAGACACGGGCCCGACUCCUACGGGAGGCAGCAGUAAGGAAUAUUGGUCAAUGGACGCAAGUCUGAACCAGCCAUGCCGCGUGGAGGAUGAAGGUCCUCUGGAUUGUAAACUUCUUUUAUCUGGGAAGAAACCCAUGAAUUCUUUUGUGGUUGACGGUACCAGAUGAAUAAGCACCGGCUAACUCCGUGCCAGCAGCCGCGGUAAUACGGAGGGUGCAAGCGUUAUCCGGAUUCACUGGGUUUAAAGGGUGCGUAGGUGGGUUGGUAAGUCAGUGGUGAAAUCUCCAGGCUUAACUUGGAAACUGCCAUUGAUACUAUCAAUCUUGAAUACCGUGGAGGUCAGCGGAAUAUGUCAUGUAGCGGUGAAAUGCUUAGAUAUGACAUAGAACACCAAUUGCGAAGGCAGCUGGCUACACGAAUAUUGACACUGAUGCACGAAAGCGUGGGGAUCAAACAGGAUUAGAUACCCUGGUAGUCCACGCCCUAAACGAUGGAUACUCGACAUACGCGAUAUACUGUGUGUGUCUGAGCGAAAGCAUUAAGUA
rnacentral:rRNA from 1 species